rnacentral:rRNA from 1 species
GCUUACGGCCAUACCACCCUGAGAACGCCCGAUCUCGUCUGAUCUCGGAAGCUAAGCAGGGUUGGGCCUGGUUAGUUCUUGGAUGGGAGACUGCCUGGGAAUACCAGGUGCUGUAAGCU